rnacentral:rRNA from 1 species
GACGAACGCUGGCGGCGUGCUUAACACAUGCAAGUCGAACGAAGUGGCGAACGGGUGAGUAACGCGUAAUCAACCUGCCCUUCAGAGGGGGACACCAGUUGGAAACGACUGCUAAUACCGCAUACGGAAGGAGGGGAUUGCGGCUGAUUUGCUCGGUGGGGGGGUAACGGCCCACCAAGGCGAUGAGCAGUAGGCGGUCUGGGGAGAUUGACGGCCACAUUGGGACUUGGUCACGGCCCAGACUCCUUCGGGAGGGAGCAGGGGGGAAUCUUCCGAAAUGGACGAAAGGCUUACGGAGCAACGCCGCGUUAGUGGUGACGGCCUUCGGGUUGUAAAGCUCUGUUAAUCGGGACGCGGUACCGGAAUAGAAAGCCACGGCUAACUACGUGCCAGCAGCCGCGGUAAUUC